GGACUACCGGGGUAUCUAAUCCCGUUUGCUCCCCUGGCUUUCGCGCAUCAGCGUCAGUGUCAGCCCAGCAACCCGUCUUCACCUCAGGUGUUCCUCUUGAUAUCUACGCAUUUCACCGCUACACCAAGAAUUCCGAUUGCCCCUUCUGCACUCUAGCACAACAGUUUCACUUGGCCGUUCUGAGUUAAGCUCAGAGAUUUCACAAGUGACUUGUCACGCCGCCUACGCGCCCUUUACGCCCAGUAAAUCCGAACAACGCUUGGUCCCUACGUAUUACCGCGGCUGCUGGCAC
rnacentral:rRNA from 1 species